rnacentral:rRNA from 1 species
GGGACACGUGGUAUCCUGUCUGAAUAUGGGGGGACCAUCCUCCAAGGCUAAAUACUCCUGACUGACCGAUAGUGAACCAGUACCGUGAGGGAAAGGCGAAAAGAACCCCGGCGAGGGGAGUGAAAAAGAACCUGAAACCGUGUACGUACAAGCAGUGGGAGCCUCUUUUAUGGGGUGACUGCGUACCUUUUGUAUAAUGGGUCAGCGACUUAUAUUCUGUAGCAAGGUUAACCGAAUAGGGGAGCCGAAGGGAAACCGAGUCUUAACUGGGCGUUAAGUUGCAGGGUAUAGACCCGAAACCCGGUGAUCUAGCCAUGGGCAGGUUGAAGGUUGGGUAACACUAACUGGAGGACCGAACCGACUAAUGUUGAAAAAUUAGCGGAUGACUUGUGGCUGGGGGUGAAAGGCCAAUCAAACCGGGAGAUAGCUGGUUCUCCCCGAAAGCUAUUUAGGUAGCGCCUCGUGAAUUCAUCUCCGGGGGUAGAGCACUGUUUCGGCAAGGGGGUCAUCCCGACUUACCAACCCGAUGCAAACUGCGAAUACCGGAGAAUGUUAUCACGGGAGACACACGGCGGGUGCUAACGUCCGUCGUGAAGAGGGAAACAACCCAGACCGCCAGCUAAGGUCCCAAAGUCAUGGUUAAGUGGGAAACGAUGUGGGAAGGCCCAGACAGCCAGGAUGUUGGCUUAGAAGCAGCCAUCAUUUAAAGAAAGCGUAAUAGCUCACUGGUCGAGUCGGCCUGCGCGGAAGAUGUAACGGGGCUAAACCAUGCACCGAAGCUGCGGCAGCGACGCUUAUGCGUUGUUGGGUAGGGGAGCGUUCUGUAAGCCUGUGAAGGUGUGCUGUGAGGCAUGCUGGAGGUAUCAGAAGUGCGAAUGCUGACAUAAGUAACGAUAAAGCGGGUGAAAAGCCCGCUCGCCGGAAGACCAAGGGUUCCUGUCCAACGUUAAUCGGGGCAGGGUGAGUCGACCCCUAAGGCGAGGCCGAAAGGCGUAGUCGAUGGGAAACAGGUUAAUAUUCCUGUACUUGGUGUUACUGCGAAGGGGGGACGGAGAAGGCUAUGUUGGCCGGGCGACGGUUGUCCCGGUUUAAGCGUGUAGGCUGGUUUUCCAGGCAAAUCCGGAAAAUCAAGGCUGAGGCGUGAUGACGAGGCACUACGGUGCUGAAGCAACAAAUGCCCUGCUUCCAGGAAAAGCCUCUAAGCAUCAGGUAACAUCAAAUCGUACCCCAAACCGACACAGGUGGUCAGGUAGAGAAUACCAAGGCGCUUGAGAGAACUCGGGUGAAGGAACUAGGCAAAAUGGUGCCGUAACUUCGGGAGAA